GACGAACGCUGGCGGCGUGCUUAACACAUGCAAGUCGAACGCUGAAGCCCAGCUUGCUGGGUGGAUGAGUGGCGAACGGGUGAGUAACACGUGGGUAAUCUGCCCUGUACUCUGGGAUAAGCCUGGGAAACUGGGUCUAAUACCGGAUAGGACACACUGCCGCAUGGUGGUGUGUGGAAAGCUCCGGCGGUACAGGUUGAGCCCGCGGCCUAUCAGCUUGUUGGUGGGGUGAUGGCCUACCAAGGCGACGACGGGUAGCCGGCCUGAGAGGGUGACCGGCCACACUGGGACUGAGACACGGCCCAGACUCCUACGGGAGGCAGCAGUGGGGAAUAUUGCACAAUGGGCGCAAGCCUGAUGCAGCGACGCCGCGUGGGGGAUGACGGCCUUCGGGUUGUAAACCUCUUUCAGUAGGGAAGAAGCCUUCGGGUGACGGUACCUGCAGAAGAAGUACCGGCUAACUAC
rnacentral:rRNA from 1 species